UGCUAUUGUAUAUUUUUGUGCUAAUCGCAAGUUUAAUUGUCUUAAUAUCCAUGUUCAAUCUUAAUUGUUUGAUCUGGAUGUUUGACAGAGAACAUUUGUUUUAGGGUGUACCCACCUGGCUUGAAUUGCAUGUAUGUGUGUGUGUGUGUGUGUGUGUGUGUGUGUGUGUGUGUGUGUGUGUGUGUGUGUGUGUUUUCUACACUGCCUGUGUAUUGUUUCCUUUUUUUUUGUUUGUUUUUUGUUUACAGUGCCCUCUGCAUGACUGGCCAUCCAGUGAGGGAUGGAAAGAGAGAGAGAGAAAGAAAGAGACAAAGGUUUCCCAGAUUUUUUUUUUUUUCAUUUAUUUUUAUUUCUAAGAGCAGAAAAUAUUGUAAAGCUGUCUGAACGCCAACAGAAAGAAAAGGUUUGUACAUAAAAAAGUGUUUUACAAAUGAAAAGAAAAAUAAUUUUAAAAAAAAACUACACCUUGCUUCAUCAUACAAUUUUUUUUCCUUUUCUUACUGCAGUGUCCAAGGCUUGGUGAGGCUGAGCGAAGAGGACAACGCCUGGGCUCCAGAGGCACGAGUCGGCACCCCACCAUACGGAGUGAAAUGACUCUAUCACUCUGUCAGUUGUAAAACACCAAAGUUUGAAUUGUAUAGUCAGCAGAGGUUGUAGAGUGUUGGAGUUGUCAUGUCAUCUCUAAGCCAACGUGUCUGUUCUUCUCUUCCACUAAAC